rnacentral:rRNA from 1 species
GGAGGUUGGCUUAGAAGCAGCCAUCCUUGAAAGAGUGCGUAAUAGCUCACUGGUCGAGUGGUUCUGCGCCGAUAAUGUAGCGGGGCUUAAGUACACCGCCGAAACCGCGGCAACACACAUUUUUGGUGUGUGUUGGGUAGGGGAGCGUCGUGCAUGCGUGGAAGCUGUCACGGAAGUGGUGGUGGAGUGUGUGCGAGUGAGAAUGCAGGCAUGAGUAGCGAAAAACAUGUGGAAAACGUGUUCGCCGGAUGACUAAGGGUUCCUGGGUGAAGCUAAUCUUCCCAGGGUGAGUCGGGACCUAAGGCGAGGCCGACAGGCGUAGUCGAUGGAUAACGGGUUGAUAGUCCCGUACCCGUGUAUGCGCGACCAGUGGUGACUCGGUUGUACUAACCACCCACCACCGCGGGAUCAAUGCUUUUGGUGUUGGUUUGGUGUGUGGUGCGUGGGAUCUUGAUCGUUGGUAGCCAAGCGAUGGGGUGACACAGAUUGGUAGUCAAGGCCACUUAUUGGAUUGUGGUGUAAGCGUGUGGCCCGCAGGAUAGGUAAAUCCGUUCUGCAUAUAAGGGUGAGGCGUGAUGCGUACCCAGAUUGUUGGGGAUGUUUGAUGUGCCUGUGCUGUCGAGAAAAGCCUCUAGCGAUGUGUGUGCACGGCCCGUACCGGAAACCGACACAGGUGGUCUGGUUGAGGAUACUAAGGCGUUCGGGUGAACUAUGGUUAAGGAACUCGGCAAAAUGCCCCCGUAACUUCGGGAGAAGGGGGGCCAUGUGCGGCAAUCACCCUUGUGCGGUGUGCGUUGUGUGUGGCCGCAGAGAAGUGAGGGAAGCGACUGUUUAUUAAAAACACAGGUCCGUGCGAAGACGUUGCAAGUCGAGGUAUACGGACUGACGCCUGCCCGGUGCUGGAAGGUUAAGAGGACUCGUGAGCACACCCCUGGUGGUGUGUGAGGCGGGUAAUUGAAGCCCCAGUAAACGGCGGUGGUAACUAUAACCAUCCUAAGGUAGCGAAAUUCCUUGUCGGGUAAGUUCCGACCUGCACGAAUGGCGUAACGACUUCCCUGCUGUCUCAACCAUAGGCCCGGUGAAAUUGCAGUACGAGUAAAGAUGCUCGUUUCGCGCGGCAGGACGAAAAGACCCCGGGACCUUUACUAUAGCUUGGUAUUGGUGUGUGCUGCAGCUUGUGUAGGAUAGGUGGGAGACGUGGAAGCAUUCACGCUAGUGGGUGUGGAGUCAUUGGUGAAAUACCACUCUGGUUGUUGUGUGCAUCUAACUGUGGGCCCUGAUCGGGUUUUGGGACAGUGCCUGGUGGGUAGUUUAACUGGGGCGGUUGCCUCCUAAAUGGUAACGGAGGCGCCCAAAGGUUCCCUCGGCUUGGUUGGUAAUCAGGUUUUUAGAGUGUAAGUGCAGUAAGGGAGCUUGACUGUGACACUGACGGGUGGAGCAGGUGCGAAAGCAGGGACUAGUGAUCCGGCAUCAACGUGUGGGUGUGGUGUCGCUCAACGGAUAAAAGGUACCCCGGGGAUAACAGGCUGAUCUUCCCCAAGAGUUCAUAUCGACGGGAUGGUUUGGCACCUCGAUGUCGGCUCGUCGCAUCCUGGGGCUGGAGUAGGUCCCAAGGGUUGGGCUGUUCGCCCAUUAAAGCGGCACGCGAGCUGGGUUUAGAACGUCGUGAGACAGUUCGGUCUCUAUCCGCCGCGCGCGUGGAAACUUGAACAAGGCUGUCCCUAGUACGAGAGGACCGGGAUGGACGUACCUCUAGUGUGCCAGUUGUCACGCCGGUGGCAUGGCUGGUUGGCUAUGUGCGGGAGGGAUAACCGCUGAAAGCAUCUAAGCGGGAAGCCUGUUGUGAGAUGAGGUUUCU